CCCCUCUCAGGGUCGCAUCUGGAGAGUUUCCAGGACUCUACCAGUCUUAACUACGGGAGGGAGGGUCAAGCCGAGGCCCAUCCAUUCCAUUCCUAGCUUGGCCAGUGGCUAGUGAGUAGAAGGCUAUCUGCUACAAGU